rnacentral:rRNA from 1 species
AGCUAACCGUUAGGAGGCAGACGUCGAAGGUAGGGUCAAUAACUGGGGUGAAGUCGUAACAAGGUAGCCGUAUCGGAAGGUGCGGCUGGAUCACCUCCUUUCUAAGGAA